rnacentral:rRNA from 1 species
GGAUGAACGUUGGCGGCGUGCCUAAUACAUGCAAGUCGAACGAAGACUGUAGUAAUACUGUCUUAGUGGCGAACGGGUGAGUAACGCGUGGGUGACCUGCCCCGAAGUGUGGGAUAACAGUUCGAAAGGAUUGCUAAUACUGCAUAAUAUCCAAGAGAUUAGACGCUUUUGGAUUAAAGGAGUAAUUCGCUUCGGGAGGGGCCCGCGUCCCAUCAGCUAGUUGGUAAGGUAAUGGCUUACCAAGGCGAUGACGGGUAGGGGACCUGAGAGGGUGGCCCCCCACAAUGGAACUGAAACACGGUCCAUACACCUACGGGUGGCAGCAGUAGGGAAUAUUAGUAAUGGGCGAAAGCCUGAACUAGCAACGCCGCGUGUGCGAAGAAGGCCUUCGGGUUGUAAAGCACUUUUUGAGAGGAUGAGGAAGGACGGUACUCUCAGAAUAAGUCUCGGCUAACUACGUGCCAGCAGCCGCGGUCAUACGUAGGAUCCGAGCGUUAUCCGGAGUGACUGGGCGUAAAGAGUUGCGUAGGUGGUUUGUAAAGUGAAUAGUGAAAUCUGGCGGCUCAACCGUACAGGCUAUUAUUCAAACUCGCAAACUCGAGAAUGGUAGAGGUUACUGGAAUUUCUUGUGUAGGAGUGAAAUCCGUAGAUAUAAGAAGGAACACCAAUGGCGUAGGCAGGUAACUGGACCAUUUCUGACACUAAGGCACGAAAGCGUGGGGAGCGAACCGGAUUAGAUACCCGGGUAGUCCACGCCGUAAACGAUGGAUACUAGCUGUUGGAGGUAUCGACCCCUUCAGUAGCGAAGCUAACGCGUUAAGUAUCCCGCCUGUGGAGUACGGUCGCAAGACUAAAACAUAAAGGAAUUGACGGGGACCCGCACAAGCGGUGGAUCGUGUUCUUUAAUUCGAUGCUAAACGAAGAACCUUACCAGGGUUUGACAUCCUUGGAAUCUCUGCGAAAGUAGAGAGUGCUUUAUUGAACCAAGUGACAGGUGAUGCAUGGCCGUCGUCAGCUCGUGUCGUGAGAUGUUUGGUUAAGUUCAUCAACGAGCGCAACCCUUGUGUCUAGUUGUAUUUUUCUAGACAGACUGCCCCGGUAACGGGGAGGAAGGAGGGGAUGAUGUCAGGUCAGUAUUUCCCUUACAUCCUGGGCUAGAAACACGAUACAAUGGCUAGUACAAUGCGCAGCGAAACAGCAAUGUGGAGCAAAUCGCAUCAAAGCUAGUCCCAGUUCGGAUUGGAGGCUGAAACUCGCCUCCAUGAAGUCGGAAUCGCUAGUAAUCGCAAAUCAGCAAGUUGCGGUGAAUACGUUCCCGGGUCU